UUAAAUUGAAGAGUUUGAUCAUGGCUCAGAUUGAACGCUGGCGGCAGGCCUAACACAUGCAAGUCGAACGGUAACAGGAAGAAGCUUGCUGCUU
rnacentral:rRNA from 1 species